AUGUCGUGCCUACGCCAAGAUUUCAUCAUGUUGCAGCCAUGUGCAAAGUUACGCAAACUUAGGCCAAGCUUCAAGGAAACUGGAGGUUUUGUUACUGCUGGCAAUACUUCUAGCAUAAGUGAUGGUGCUGCAUCAUUAGUUUUGAUGAGUGGAGAGAAGGCAUUAAAGCUUGGGCUUCAGGUCUUUGCAAAAAUCACUGGAUAA